GGUGAGGGAAACAAUGCUGAGGGGGGUGUUAAGUCAUUCAACUUUUAUGGGCAUCAACUUGACAACCUAUCAAAGCCUUCAAGUUACGCACACCUUCUAAUUUUAAGAAGUGUAUCUUGAGGAAGGCAUAAGGAUACAUAAGAUGUAUUUAAAUUUACUCAUUGCACCAAUAUUAACUGGAAAGGUAGACAGUGUCUUGAUGUCCAACACUAAGUAAUUUACUAGAUAAUGAUAAAUUCAUACAAUAAACUAUUAUAGAAUGAUGUUCAGAAUAUACUGCAUUUUAAAAACAAAUUAAAACAUUGCAAUAAAUGCCAUACAUUGCAAUAUAUAAUAUAUAUACUACAUAAAGCAUAACAUUUCAUCAAUUUAUUCUCAUCCUAAUAGACUUUGGAACAUCCCGACUGGCCUGUGGAAGUCUGAUGAGGGUUUCUCUCUCCCACAGAUAAGGGAAGGAACAUGAUUGUCAGGAAAUCAAAAAACAGUGCGGACAUCUAAAGCAAAAGAAUGAGCUGACUCAAGUUUGUUUACUUAUUUGGCACUAGAAUAUUCCUGCAAUAAGUAAA